CAUACAAAUGCUCUCAAGCAUAUGAAUGCUGUAAGCAGCUGAACAGGAAAAGCAUACAAUCAGCUUACACUCCUGGCAAUCAGCAUACAAUCCAAUUCCCCCAAUAACGAGACGACACUUCGUUUUUGAGAUCAAGCAGAACUGACUGGACUGGCACAUACAGCCUCUUUUAUUCACAAUCCACAAACAUAGUACUGCCCACAGGGUUUUGAAACACAGCCAAUCAAUCUGUACAAUACACACAGACACUCCCACACAAAAU